rnacentral:lncRNA from 1 species
CCAUUGUCACCAUAGCUAGGAGGGUUGGAGUGUUGUUAACAAUGAAAGCAUGGUGCUUGGAUUGCCUAGCUUCAUUGGAUAUGAGUUUGCCCCAUGGAUUGCUAGGGGUAGAUGGCAGGUGGUGACAACCUUGUCCGUCCUUUGUAAUCCCCCACGUUCGGGUACGCUGUAGGAGUUCGUAAAUUAGCAGUAACUACGCCAGCAGACUGGUAGGGUACUGUCUCCCCGUGUGUGCAUGGAUGCAUAGGCCUGGUCCCUAUACAAUGUGUAUGUAGGUUAUGCUUGUAUAAUUUGUGCAGUAUAUAGGAAGUACAUAUGAACCUAGAGCUAACUCCUAGUCCUUCUCCCUAGAUUAGUUAUCUUGAGAUGAUUCUUCUGUGUGUGUCAUACUACUCUAUCCAUCAUUAUCUUAUCCCUGUCUUGAGUAUUGUCUCUUUCCAUCUUAUGAUAUAUACUCAUAUGCAUAGUAAAUUCUUUUGACCUACCC